rnacentral:rRNA from 1 species
CAGCAGCCGCGGGAAUACGUAGGGUGCAAGCGUUAAUCGGAAUUACUGGGCGUAAAGCGCGCGUAGGCGGUUACUCAAGUCAGAGGUGAAAGCCCGGGGCUCAACCCCGGAACUGCCUUUGAAACUAGGUGACUAGAAUCUUGGAGAGGUCAGUGGAAUUCCGAGUGUAGAGGUGAAAUUCGUAGAUAUUCGGAAGAACACCAGUGGCGAAGGCGACUGACUGGACAAGUAUUGACGCUGAGGUGCGAAAGCGUGGGGAGCAAACAGGAUUAGAUACCCCGGUAGUCCCUGUCUCUUAUAC